UUUAUGGAGAGUUUGAUCCUGGCUCAGGAUGAACGCUGGCGGCGUGCCUAAUACAUGCAAGUCGAGCGAACGGACGAGAAGCUUGCUUCUCUGAUGUUAGCGGCGGACGGGUGAGUAACACGUGGAUAACCUACCUAUAAGACUGGGAUAACUUCGGGAAACCGGAGCUAAUACCGGAUAAUAUUUUGAACCGCAUGGUUCAAAAGUGAAAGACGGUCUUGCUGUCACUUAUAGAUGGAUCCGCGCUGCAUUAGCUAGUUGGUAAGGUCAGGCUUACCAAGGCAACGAUGCAUAGCCGACCUGAGAGGGUGAUCGGCCACACUGGAACUGAGACACGGUCCAGACUCCUACGGGAGGCAGCAGUAGGGAAUCUUCCGCAAUGGGCGAAAGCCUGACGGAGCAACGCCGCGUGAGUGAUGAAGGUCUUCGGAUCGUAAAACUCUGUUAUUAGGGAAGAACAUAUGUGUAAGUAACUGUGCACAUCUUGACGGUACCUAAUCAGAAAGCCACGGCUAACUACGUGCCAGCAGCCGCGGUAAUACGUAGGUGGCAAGCGUUAUCCGGAAUUAUUGGGCGUAAAGCGCGCGUAGGCGGUUUUUUAAGUCUGAUGUGAAAGCCCACGGCUCAACCGUGGAGGGUCAUUGGAAACUGGAAAACUUGAGUGCAGAAGAGGAAAGUGGAAUUCCAUGUGUAGCGGUGAAAUGCGCAGAGAUAUGGAGGAACACCAGUGGCGAAGGCGACUUUCUGGUCUGUAACUGACGCUGAUGUGCGAAAGCGUGGGGAUCAAACAGGAUUAGAUACCCUGGUAGUCCACGCCGUAAACGAUGAGUGCUAAGUGUUAGGGGGUUUCCGCCCCUUAGUGCUGCAGCUAACGCAUUAAGCACUCCGCCUGGGGAGUACGACCGCAAGGUUGAAACUCAAAGGAAUUGACGGGGACCCGCACAAGCGGUGGAGCAUGUGGUUUAAUUCGAAGCAACGCGAAGAACCUUACCAAAUCUUGACAUCCUUUGACAACUCUAGAGAUAGAGCUCCCCCUUCGGGGGACAAAGUGACAGGUGGUGCAUGGUUGUCGUCAGCUCGUGUCGUGAGAUGUUGGGUUAAGUCCCGCAACGAGCGCAACCCUUAAGCUUAGUUGCCAUCAUUAAGUUGGGCACUCUAAGUUGACUGCCGGUGACAAACCGGAGGAAGGUGGGGAUGACGUCAAAUCAUCAUGCCCCUUAUGAUUUGGGCUACACACGUGCUACAAUGGACAAUACAAAGGGCAGCGAAACCGUGAGGUCAAGCAAAUCCCAUAAAGUUGUUCUCAGUUCGGAUUGUAGUCUGCAACUCGACUACAUGAAGCUGGAAUCGCUAGUAAUCGUAGAUCAGCAUGCUACGGUGAAUACGUUCCCGGGUCUUGUACACACCGCCCGUCACACCACGAGAGUUUGUAACACCCGAAGCCGGUGGAGUAACCUUUUAGGAGCUAGCCGUCGAAGGUGGGACAAAUGAUUGGGGUGAAGUCGUAACAAGGUAGCCGUAUCGGAAGGUGCGGCUGGAUCACCUCCUUU
rnacentral:rRNA from 1 species